GACGAACGCUGGCGGCGUGCUUAACACAUGCAAGUCGAACGGAAAGGCCCUGCUUUUGUGGGGUGCUCGAGUGGCGAACGGGUGAGUAACACGUGAGUAACCUGCCCUUGACUUUGGGAUAACUUCAGGAAACUGGGGCUAAUACCGGAUAGGAGCUCCUGCUGCAUGGUGGGGGUUGGAAAGUUUCGGCGGUUGGGGAUGGACUCGCGGCUUAUCAGCUUGUUGGUGGGGUAGUGGCUUACCAAGGCUUUGACGGGUAGCCGGCCUGAGAGGGUGACCGGCCACAUUGGGACUGAGAUACGGCCCAGACUCCUACGGGAGGCAGCAGUGGGGAAUAUUGCACAAUGGGCGGAAGCCUGGUGCAGCAACGCCGCGUGCGGGAUGACGGCCUUCGGGUUGUAAACCGCUUUCGCCUGUGACGAAGCGUGAGUGACGGUAAUGGGUAAAGAAGUACCGGCUAACUACGUG
rnacentral:rRNA from 1 species